CUGGUUGAUCCUGCCAGUAGUCAUAUGCUUGUCUCAAAGAUUAAGCCAUGCAUGUCUGAGUAUAAACUUUUAUACGGUGAAACUGCGAAUGGCUCAUUAAAACAGUUAUAGUUUACUUGAUGGCCAGACCACUAUUUGGAUAACUAUGGUAAUUCUAGAGCUAAUACAUGCUUAAAGAUCCGACUUUUUGAAGGGUUGUGCUUAUUAGAUACUGAACCAACCCGCUUCGGCGGUUGUUAGUUGAUUCAUAGUAUUCCAGCGAAUCGCUUCGGCGAUGAAUCAUUCAAGUUUCUGACCUAUCAGCUUUCGAUGGUAGGGUAUUGGCCUACCAUGGCUUUGACGGGUAACGGAGAAUUAGGGUUCGAUUCCGGAGAGGGAGCCUGAGAAACGGCUACCACAUCUAAGGAAGGCAGCAGGCGCGUAAAUUACCCAAUCCUGACACAGGGAGGUAGUGACAAGAAAUACCAAUACAAAGCAUUUAUGCUCUGUAAUUGGAAUGAGAACAAUCUAAACCCAUUAUCGAGUAUCCAUUGGAGGGCAAGUCUGGU
rnacentral:rRNA from 1 species